GGAGGGGUGGCUGAGAGGUUUAAGGCACCGGUUUGCUAAAUCUGCGUGUAUUGUUUUAUACCGUAGGUUCGAAUCCUAUCCCUUCCA
rnacentral:tRNA from 1 species